UACGUAGGGUGCGAGCGUUGUCCGGAAUUAUUGGGCGUAAAGAGCUCGUAGGCGGUGUGUCGCGUCGGUCGUGAAAACUUGGGGCUUAACCCUGAGCUUGCGGUCGAUACGGGCAUCACUGGAGUUCGGCAGGGGAGACUGGAAUUCCUGGUGUAGCGGUGAAAUGCGCAGAUAUCAGGAGGAACACCGGUGGCGAAGGCGGGUCUCUGGGCCGUAACUGACGCUGAGGAGCGAAAGCAUGGGGAGCGAACAGG
rnacentral:rRNA from 1 species